GGGUCGUAAACCUCUUUUGUUAGGGAAGANCAUGACGACNGUACCUAACGAAUCCCCAUCGGCUAACUCCCUGCCAGCCGCCGCGGUACUACGGAGGAUGCCAGCGUUAUCCGGAAUUAUUGGGCGUAAAGCGUCCGCAGGUGGUUUAUCAAGUCUGCUGUUAAAGGAUGGGGCUUAACCCCAUAUCCGCCGUGRAAACUGAGAUACUANANUACRGANGGGGUAGCAGGAAUUCCCGNUGUAGCGAUGAAAUGCGUANAUCUUGNGAACAACACCGGCGGCGAAGGCKCRCUGCUGGGCCUAAACUGACACUGAUGGACRAAAGCUAGGGGAGCCAAGAGGAUUARAUACCCCUGUCNUCCUAGCUGUAAACGAUGACUACUAGGUGUUGCGCUUAUC
rnacentral:rRNA from 1 species